GUGCCCGUAGUUCAAUGGUAGAACGCAGCUCUGUGGCAGCUGUCACGUGGGUCCGAUUCCCAUCGGGCACCCCA
rnacentral:tRNA from 1 species